rnacentral:rRNA from 1 species
CAGAAUGACUGGCUGGACUUGUGCUUGUCCGGUCAUUUGAUAUUUUCGCCGCUAUAACAGACGUCGCGAUCUGUUUGUUGUCGGUCCCUGCUCGGAGGAGUUGCAAUCGAGCUUGUUGUAGGCGCGUUUCGGCGUGUCAUACGGCAAAGAUGCAAAUCUCUGGCUGACAACGGACAGUAAGAAAAGGUUGCCGAUGCCGUGUUACGUGCACGGUGUUGGUACCGAUCAGCGACGAUCUCUUCGGGCCUCUUUCCGACCCGUCUUGAAACACGGACCAAGGAGUCUAACAUACGCGCGAGUCGCGGGGUGUCGAGUGUACUACGGUGCGCUCGUUCAUCGUGAAACCCGUCUGUUGAAGGCGUAAUGAAAGUGAAUAGGGAAGAUGGUGUUCCGAGUAUACUUACCGUGAAAUUUUGCGGCCGGACACCCGCAUUCCCGGGGCGUCUCAAUGGCUCAUCGUAGAUGCAGAUUGUCGCCUCUCGGGGCGAUAGUCGGUCCGCGAUGGUCCGAGGCGCACCUAUAGCGUGUACGUUGGUACCCGAAAGAUGGUGAACUAUGCCUGGCCAGGAUGAAGUCAGGGGAAACCCUGAUGGAGGUCCGCAGCGAUUCUGACGUGCAAAUCGAUCGUCUGAGCUGGGUAUAGGGGCGAAAGACUAAUCGAACCAUCUAGUAGCUGGUUCCCUU